GGAGCGGUAUCGUAAGGCCUGGUGACUCUGACCGUUCGGAGAACGGGAUAGGUCACGCUGAGAGGCGUGAACGGGGAAGGGCGGCUGAGAUGCGCGCCCGGCAGACUGAAAUCGGAGCCCAGGGUGAGCCGCUUU
rnacentral:ncRNA from 1 species